rnacentral:lncRNA from 1 species
AAUGCACAAAGCCCGACUCUGGAGUGGCACUCGUGGGCGCUACCCAACCGAGUAUGCGAGCAUGUUUCUGCCGAGCUCAAUCAAGCUCUCACAGGCUAUAGUCAAAGCAGAAGGGUCUAACUGGUCCAACAACCAUAACUCACAUGCCCUCGGCACAAUUUGAUGCAAAAACAGCAAACUGGGUCCACCGUCAACGACAACGGCACCCGACAGUCUGGAACAGUUUAUACACUACUGUAAAAAUAAACUCGGCAUCCCAGCACGAGCGUAAAUUCACUCUACACUAUUCUGGAUAUCCACCACCUACCAACUGCGGCAAUACAACAAACUACAGCUCCUAAAACUAAAUCUGGUAGUUUUCAGAAAAUGACAGUGUAGAACCUAUAGUUUUCUCCUAAGUCAAUUUAAGUUCAACAUGUAUAAUUUAUUUAAACCAAUAACUAUGCUCCAAAUUCAUAUUUCAAAGAACAUGCAAAUCCACGAAUUCGAGCUAUUAAACAUGAU